GUGGUCAAACCGUGGACUGUUGACUGAUGACGUGGCGCAAUCCUGAGCCUCCAAACUGUUUUUAAUCCGAUGGCCAUGAUUUACUCCAUAUAUCUAUAAAAAGGGGGCCCCCCCCCCCUAAUUUGAUAUCUCUGAAUCCAUUUUUGGGAUCCAUUUUCUGUAAUUCCCUCUCCAUCUUGUAUUUUCUUUGUAUUUUAAUAAAUUCCCAUUUUGCC
rnacentral:lncRNA from 1 species